GGGCCCGUAGCUUAGCUGGGAGAGCGCCGCCCUUGCACGGCGGAGGUCGGGAGUUCGAAUCUCCCCGGGUCCA
rnacentral:tRNA from 2 species